rnacentral:rRNA from 1 species
GAUGAACGCUAGCGGCAGGCCUAACACAUGCAAGUCGAGGGGUAACUAGAGUGAUAGCAAUAUUACUUUGGCUAGACCGGCGCACGGGUGCGUAACACGUAUGCAACCUACCUUAUACUGGGGAAUAACUUCGAGAAAUCGGCGCUAAUACCCCAUAACAUUGCGAAGAGGCAUCUCUUUGCAAUUAAAGCUCCGGCGGUAUAAGAUGGGCAUGCGUCCAAUUAGCUAGUUGGUGAGGUAACGGCUCACCAAGGCGACGAUUGGUAGGGGUUCUGAGAGGAUGAUCCCCCACACUGGUACUGAGACACGGCCCAGACUCCUACGGGAGGCAGCAGUGAGUAAUAUUGCGCAAUGGACGAAAGUCUGACGCAGCCAUGCCGCGUGCAGGAUGACGGCCCUAUGGGUUGUAAACUGCUUUUGUACGGGAAUAAACCCUUCUACGUGUAGGAGGCUGAAGGUACCGUAAGAAUAAGCACCGGCUAACUCCGUGCCAGCAGCCGCCGUAAGAC